UUUCUUUUAGGCAAUGACCGCGGGUGAUAUGACGUAGGCAGCGUGACGUCUCCGUCCGCGAGGGACACUACGCGCCCGGGCGCGCGUGGCCAUUUGAACGGCGCGACGGCCCCAAGCUGCUUAGCUUUGCGCGGCCAGCGAAACCACCGGAGUCCGGAGAGAGGGUAGAAGUGGACGGACGACGCCUUCCCCCUUCCUGGUGUUUGUCCGAGCUAUGCAUGCAUCCGCGGCUGGUGACCUCGUGUGCCGCCAUUGCCGGAGGCUGGCUGGGCGUCCGCGGCGCCGGUGUUACAUCUCAGGGAAAUGUGUGCAUGCCAAGAUUCCUGCGGUUCCGGACUGAUUGGUGAGAUUACAGUUAUAAGGCAGCCUGCAAUACAAACAGGCUUACUAAUGCCCUGGAAUAAGCUACACAAUACUCAGAAAAAUGACAACAGAACCAACUUGUCGCUGUCUUAUGGUAAACAUCAAUGGUAGCCUGAUUCUUGUAUAGCCAGAACAUCUUUGACUUCACAUCACAGGACAGUUCAUCCAAGUACAGUUCUACACAAUACAGGUCUAUAGCACAGUAGCACAUCUACCUUUAUUGCUGAAUUUAGAAAAUGUACUAGCAGCUUACUUCCUCUGAGUUGUGCUGAAACAGUGAAACUAUCAAACACAGCCACAUGUAUUGUGAAUUAGCCAGUGAGUUCUUUUUUCAA